rnacentral:lncRNA from 1 species
GGUAGCACGGAGACCUCCGUGCUACCAAGUUGUUUUCAAUGAUGCGGCUUACAAAUCGACGAUCGGCUCCGUUAGACUUGAUCUACACUAUUGAAAGCAUUUAGAAACUAAAUUUCAUAAUUUUUCGGCAUCAUUUACGUAUCAAACGAGUAGUCUAAAAAUGAACGGCUGAAAAUAAAAAUCUUAUAAAAAAUGAUGAUAAAAGACUUGAAUUUAAAAUCAGAGGUGCUGAUCUUACUCUAAAUAAUGAAAAGAAUUUUCUAUAAAAAUUUCAUCAUAUUUGACUUGUUUUACACCGUUAAAUUCACAAAUGUAUCACAUCUACCAUUAAAAUUGUCAAUUUUGAGACCUUUUGAUCACUAGCCAAAUAAUGUCGAAAAAUUAUGAAAUUUAGUUUCCAAACACUAUUAAUAGUGUAGAUCAAGUCUAACGGAGCCGAUCGUCGAUUUGGAAGCCGCAUCAUUGAAAACAACUUGGUAGCACGGUGGCCUCUGUGCUACCGAUAGUAUACCAGCCUAACUCUACAUAUAAAUAUAUAUAGUUCGGCUGGAAUACAAUCAAUAGCACCAAACUAUUGGUGCUAUUAGGUUUUUGGCCUUUGGAUGAAAAAAUGUACGGUUAAGAUGAUGUGGGCCCCCUAGGGUUGAAUGAGUUAUUGGUUUAAUAGUAUAAUCUAACGAGUGAAAAUAGUCAAAGGGUUUCGUUAGAAAACUCUCUCUCUCUCUCUUUUAUAUAUAUAUAUAUAUAUAUAUAUAUAUAUAUAUAUAAAAGAGAGAGAGAGAGAGAGUUAUUAUCCCAUGUGGAUCAGAAUUAUUAUUGGGUUUAUACCAAUGAGCAAAAAAAGUACAACUUGAACAAUGAAUUAAUAAGUCGAACAAAAGCUCUAGAAAAAGAAAAAGGGUUUCUUGCUCUAGAUAUGCUCGAAAAAAGGACUAGAUUAUGCAAUGAUGAAAAUGAACAAAAAUACUAUAUAUAUAUAUAUAGAGAGAGAGAGAGUUGAGCUGGAAUACUAUCGGUAGCAAACUGGCUCCGUUGCCACCCAUUUGUUUUCGAUAAUAGAGCCUUCAAAUCGACGAUCGGCACCGUUGAAAAUGAUCUAUACCACUUUAAAUAUUUAGAAAUCAAAUUUCAUACUUUUUCGAUAUUGUUUUCUUGUCCAUCAAGUGGGCGUAAAAAUGAAUGGCUGAAAAUGAAUAUUCUCUAAAAAGUGAUGAUAAAAAUUUUAUAAUCAUGAUCGAGAGUAUAGAUCUUGUUCUAAGUAGUUUAAAGAAUUUUCCAACCAAAAUUCAAUUGAUUUGGAUAGCUUUACACCGUUAAACGAGAAAACCCCUCAUAUCAACCAUUAAAAUUACUAAUUUUGAAACCCUUUGAUCAUUAGGUAAAUGAUGUCGAAAAGAUUUGAAAUUUGAUUUCUAGAUACGUCAAGUGAUAUAGAUCAUGUUCAACGGUGUUGAUCGUCGAUUUGAAAGCUCCAUCAUCGAAAACAAAUGGGUGGCAACGGAGCCCGUUUGCUACCGAUAGCAUUCCAGCUCAACUAUAUAUAUAUAUAUAUAUAUAUAUAUAUAUAUAUAUCAAUAGUACAAAGCCCUUGGUACUAUUGAGUUUUUAGCCGUUGGAUGAAAGGAUGUGCGGUUAGGAUGAUAGUGGUCCCCGGUUAAAUUGAUAGCGGUCCCCUAGGGUCAAGGGCCAAAAAUUUAAUACCACCAAUAACUUGGUAUUGUUGAGAGAGAGAGAGAGAGAGAGAGAGUCCGGCUGGGAUACUAUCGAUAGCACCAAGUAUUUGGUGCUAUCGAGUUUCCGCCGUAAGAUUUAACCCUUUAAUUAUUUUUACCCGUUAGAUUAUACUAUAUAUUUAACUAACUACUCACUCAACCCUAGAGGGCCCACAUCAUCCUAACCACACAUUUCUCAAUCUAAGGGCUAAAAAAUUAAUAGCACAAAUAGCUCGGUGCUAUUUUUAGUAUUCCAGCUUAGUNUUCAUACGGUCAUAUUAUUUAGUCAAUAUUAUUUAAGAUUACGAAAAAUAUAUAAUUAAUUAAUUAAUUUUUUUAAUUAAUUUUAAAUAAUACUAUAAAAAAAUUUCAACAUUUUUUUAGAAAAAAGAGAAAGAGAAUAUAGAUUAGAAAAAGAGAGCAUAAUUAAAGAAAUAGAAAGAGAAAUAGAGUCGAGAUUAGAGAGAAUGAGAGGGUUGAGAUUUUAGAAAAAGAGGGGAGAAAUAGCUUAGUUUAGAAAGAGAAAAAGAGUUGAAGUUUAGAGAGAAAAAGAUAAGUUUAGAGAGAGAUAUGAGGUUUAGAAUGUAUAGAAAAAUAAUACAAACUAGCCGGCGGGUAGGAAGAAAGAAAGAGAUUAGACAUAUUAUAAUUAUCCCAAUUCAUUAAUAUAAGGAUACCCACUCUCACUCAGAGGAAUGAGAUUAGUACUUUGGGAUGCAUCUCAUUCCCAAGUAAAUUAAAUAUUACCAACUAGAUUACUUAGUUUAUUUAGCCAAACAUCGUCAUAAUUUUUUAUUUUUAUUAGAUUAUUAGAAAUCUUAAAAAAAUAGCGCAAACCAAAUGCACCCCAAGGUUCAUCCAUAUAUCUAAGUAUAUUUUAAUUGUGACGUGCUGAAAGAAAGUUAUUAAGAAUAAUCAUUAAAGAGGGGGACUAUCUUUUGGAAUAACUAAUUGGAAUCGCUAUCUAAGUGGAGUGAUUACAAAAGUACAUGCGGUAUGCUUUUGCAGAUGUAUAAGUUUGCACUUUACAGGUCGUUGGUGUCAUUAAAUUUUCAAUCUUCAGACGAAAAGAUGUGCGGCUAAGAUAAUAGAGGUUCCUCGGGGUUGAGUGGAUGGUUGGUUGAAUAGUACAAUCUGAAAGUUGGAAAUAGUCAAAAGGGUUAAUCUAAUGGCGAAAAACUGAAUAGCACAACAUCGUUGGUGCUAUUGAUAGCAUUGUAGUCGAACUAUAUAUAUAUAUAUAUAUAGAAUUAUGCUACUAUACUAUCAAUAGUACAAAGCCCUUGGUACUAUUGAGUUUUUAGCCGUUGGAUGAAAGGAUGUGCGGUUAGGAUGAUAGUGGUCCCCGGUUAAAUUGAUAGCGGUCCCCUAGGGUUGAGUGGGUGGUUGGUUUAAUAGUAUAAUCUAACGGGUGGAAAUGAUCAACAGGUAGAUCUAAUGGUAGAAAACUCAAUAGUACCAAGGACUUGGUACUAUCGAUAGUAUAGUAGCCGGACUAUAUAUAUAUAUAUAUACUGGUAUACUACCGGUAGCACGGAGACCUCCGUGCUACCAAGUUGUUUUCAAUGAUGCGGCUUACAAAUCGACGAUCGGCUCCGUUAGACUUGAUCUACACUAUUGAAAGCAUUUAGAAACUAAAUUUCAUAAUUUUUCGGCAUCAUUUACGUAUCAAACGAGUAGUCUAAAAAUGAACGGCUGAAAAUAAAAAUCUUAUAAAAAAUGAUGAUAAAAGACUUGAAUUUAAAAUCAGAGGUGCUGAUCUUACUCUAAAUAAUGAAAAGAAUUUUCUAUAAAAAUUUCAUCAUAUUUGACUUGUUUUACACCGUUAAAUUCACAAAUGUAUCACAUCUACCAUUAAAAUUGUCAAUUUUGAGACCUUUUGAUCACUAGCCAAAUAAUGUCGAAAAAUUAUGAAAUUUAGUUUCCAAACACUAUUAAUAGUGUAGAUCAAGUCUAACGGAGCCGAUCGUCGAUUUGGAAGCCGCAUCAUU